ensembl:snRNA U2 U2 spliceosomal RNA
ACAGACUACAGGCUAAGAUCUAGCCACAAUCAACUGCAGUAUCUUUUCUUACCAGUUUAAUAUUUGAUAUGUCUUCUGCUUGAGGACUUCACAUUCUAUUGAUUUUAUACUAAAUUGAUUUAAAUGGACUUUCUGUUACACUGGGAAAUGGACUAGAAGCUUUGUUUUAUCCACCUCAC